GGGUGAGGCGCGCAGAGAUGACGUAAAGGAAACUAUUUUAAAUGUUCUUUUUAUUUUGUUCAGCGGUUCAGAAGACGUCCUGUAAUUUUCACUUUUGGUCCCGUUGUUAGGUUGUAAUACCGCAGUUGAGAAGAAAGAAACAGCUAAGUAAUCGAGAAAAAUGCCGCCUCUUGAAACGGAUAUAGCGGUGGAAACAGAAGAGAAAGGAUUGACCAUCUGGAUCAACAGGUGCUAUUCCCAAGGAGCUAAACCUGUAGGAUCAUACUUGAGGAGCUUUGUCUGCACCUGGACUUGAUUUAGAUGACAAGAUACACAAAGGGAGAGCUACAUCUUGACCCCUCAGGUCCAGAUCUUGAACCUUCCAGGUUCUGGAGACUUAUAAAUACCCUUGGAUUAUCUCAUAUGCGGAUCCUGUAUUGUAUUGUUCCUUGACACUACUGACCCACAGAUGGCGCUGCACAACAGAAGACAUUAUGCUUUGAUUUUCCGUUAGGAUUUCCAUCGGGUGCCUAAAUGGAUUUUUCAGAAGACAGAGUAUCUUCAGAAAGCAAAAUGAAGACCCUUCUUAAUGUAAUAUGAGAAGUGGUUUCAAAUGUGUAAAAUGUGCUUUGCCUCAUGCCCCGUUAAAUCUACAGCUAAGAUGACCGGCCCCAUUUUUGGUUUGUGCUACCUUGCAGGCAUCUUGAAGACCAAGACUAUGCCCUCAUCAUCUUUGUUGACCCAGUAAGCAUGAAAUAAAUGCUUGUCGAAUGACUCA